rnacentral:rRNA from 1 species
UGGGGAAUAUUGCACAAUGGGCGCAAGCCUGAUGCAGCCAUGCCGCGUGUAUGAAGAAGGCCUUCGGUUUGUAAAGUACUUUCAGCGGGGAGGAAGGGAGUAAAGUUAAUACCUUUGCUCAUUGACGUUACCCGCAGAAGAAGCACCGGCUAACUCCGUGCCAGCAGCCGCGGUAAUACGGAGGGUGCAAGCGUUAAUCGGAAUUACUGGGCGUAAAGCGCACGCAGGCGGUUUGUUAAGUCAGAUGUGAAAUCCCCGGGCUCAACCUGGGAACUGCAUCUGAGACUGGCAAGCUUGAGUCUCGUAGAGGGGGGGAGAAUUCCAGGUGUAGCGGUGAAAUGCGUAGAGAUCUGGAGGAAUACCGGUGGCGAAGGCGGCCCCCUGGACGAAGACUGACGCUCAGGUGCGAAAGCGUGGGGAGCAAACAGG